UACGUAGGGGGCAAGCGUUGUCCGGAAUUAUUGGGCGUAAAGAGCUCGUAGGCGGCUUGUUGCGUCGGCUGUGAAACCCCGGGGCUCAACCCCGGGUCUGCAGUCGAUACGGGCAGGCUAGAGUUCGGUAGGGGAGACUGGAAUUCCUGGUGUAGCGGUGAAAUGCGCAGAUAUCAGGAGGAACACCGGUGGCGAAGGCGGGUCUCUGGGCCGAUACUGACGCUGAGGAGCGAAAGCGUGGGGAGCGAACAGG
rnacentral:rRNA from 1 species